AACUUUCAUAUAAGUCAGCUUCUCAGUCCCGUGCUCACAUCUUGUGUCCUAGAUGGUGAGGACAUGUUUGGAGACGGUGCUGUCAACCCUCUACCCAGGCCACACCUCCACCACACGCGUGGAGGUUCUCCAACCAGGAGACCUGGAGACACUGGGUGGGGUUGAGGACAAACCAGCGUCCUCCCCCUAUCCGGACCCCUCAGGGGCCGUGUCCACCAAAAGCCUUUGGUGGAGGCUGACAGGCGGAGCGCCUGUCUGUAACGCAUUCUCUAUGGCAGGACGCAAAUGCAGCGCGCCUUUUAAAAAACCGCCCGGAGCGGUUAAACGCUCCGUGCGCCUCACGCUUCUAGGCGCGCGCCCCAGUUGAAAACAGUUGAACGCGUUGAAAGCAGUGCACGGAGCGCUCCGCCUUUUAAAAAGGCUUUUGGUGGACACGGCCCCUAAGACUGCUCCUCGCCGCAAGGGGAAGACCAGCUGAAACAGAUGGUCUUGGAGUCUCAGGAGGAUUCUGAGUCGGUCGUGAUAUCAGAUAGCCCUGCACCCAGGCCACAAAGCCCUGAACCCAGGCCACAAAGCCCUGAACCCAGGCCACAAAGCCCUGAAGCCAGGCCACAAAGCCCUGAGGCCAGGCCGAAAAGCCCUGAACCCAGGCCACAAAGCCUUGAAUCCAGGCCCCAUCGCCCUGAACCCAGGCCACAAAGCCCUGAAGCCAAGCCCUAACGCC